rnacentral:tRNA from 1 species
GGCUAGAUGGCCGAGUGGUUAUGGCGUGUGACUCAAGCUUAUUAAGCUUGAUCUGGCUACAGAUCAAAAAUUCUCAUGGGGAAACCCGCGGGGGUUCGAAUCCCCCUCUAGUCA